GACGAACGCUGGCGGCGUGCUUAACACAUGCAAGUCGAACGGAAAGGCCCUGCUUUUGUGGGGUGCUCGAGUGGCGAACGGGUGAGUAACACGUGAGUAACCUGCCCUUGACUUUGGGAUAACUUCAGGAAACUGGGGCUAAUACCGGAUAGGAGCUCCUGCUGCAUGGUGGGGGUUGGAAAGUUUCGGCGGUUGGGGAUGGACUCGCGGCUUAUCAGCUUGUUGGUGGGGUAGUGGCUUACCAAGGCUUUGACGGGUAGCCGGCCUGAGAGGGUGACCGGCCACAUUGGGAAUGAGAUACGGCCCAGACUCCUACGGGAGGCAGCAGUGGGGAAUAUUGCACAAUGGGCGGAAGCCUGAUGCAGCAACGCCGCGUGCGGGAUGACGGCCUUCGGGUUGUAAACCGCUUUCGCCUGUGACGAAGCGUGAGAGACGGUAAUGGGUAAAGAAGCACCGGCUAACUACGUG
rnacentral:rRNA from 1 species